CUGACCUCCUGUCUUCUCUGUGGGUCUCCAGAAUCCUACACCUCCAGGAAAACACACAACCGACCACAGCCUAAGAGCUCAGAACUUGCUAGAACACUGCACGGAUGUUGUGUGUGAACGCGGAUCUAGAAUUCUCAAAGCGUCUGAUGCACCUGCCAGCACCCUCAGGGAGGAGACGAGCUGUGGCCUGGGUGGGGACAGUCACCUCGCACACAUCCUGCCGCCCAUGCAAAGUGUCUGGUGGGUACUGCUCGGAACGGAGGCUUCGGGAACGGAGAAGAUGCAUCCUCGUCUUCAACGAGUCUAUAGUCUGCGGAGACUGCUGACAAAUAAGUCUGCGAUUAACGUCACCGGGCAGCACGGCGACGACCACGGGCGCCGUUUUCACCUGUCAGACCGACUAUGGAUGCACGUCUGACAACAUCAGGUGUUUGGUGACGACGCAGGGAGAGGGGUCCCGGAUCCCGCAGGGAGGACUGAGAAUCGCUGUGUAUUAACCGUGUCUUUGUCUUCUGUGCUGAUACAUGGACACUGGGCCCUUGCCGGCCCCAAACAUUAGGAAGGAGAUGAUGUCAGUGCCCGCCCCACAGGACGCAGGACGGACAGAUCACACCUGGGAAGUGUCCAGACAAGCAGAUCUGGGCACGUUCGCCGCAGGCGCUUUUGCGACGGCGGAAAAUCGGGAACAGGCUGGCGAACGGCAUGACUGUGGUGUGGGCACCGGGAGGGUCGCUGCAGCCCCGAGGGAGGGGUUCAUCUCCACGUGGGAGCCCGGGGUUGAGUAAGAGGGGCAACUCGUGGAACCAGGUGUGCGUCGAGAUGUGAUUUACGGGGAAACAGUACCGUACAUUUUCUGUGGAAAAACGUGAGCACCGGAGAGAGACGUGAUGGACGGCAGACGGGGUCGAGUCCAGGUCAGCGAGAGCAGGUGGAGUCAGCGGGGAGAGGUGGUCCGAGGUACUACCGUUGUAUUUCUAUGACUUUUAUUUUGUUUUCAUUAUUUAAUUUAAUGUAUUUGGAUUUUUUUUUUUUUUGGUUAUUAUGGAUUGCUUAGGUGAUUAAAAAUUUAUCUGAGAUGCAGAA